GCUUCCGUAGCUCAGUUGGUUAGAGCGUCGUACUAAUACUCCAUUCGAGUACUUGGUAAUGCGAAGGUCUCAGGUUCAAGCCCUGGCGGGAGCA
rnacentral:tRNA from 2 species